AGGUUCGAUCCUGGCUCAGGAUGAACGCUGGCGGCGUGCCUAACACAUGCAAGUCGAACGAAGCACUUCGGAUUGGAGAUUCGUCAAAGAUCUGAUUUGACUUAGUGGCGGACGGGUGAGUAAUGUAUGAGCAACCUGCCUUUCAGAGGGGGACAACAGUUGGAAACGACUGCUAAUACCGCAUAAUGUAUUUUGGGGGCAUCCCCGGGAUACCAAAGGAGCAAUCCGCUGAAAGAUGGGCUCAUAUCUGAUUAGUUAGUUGGCAGGGUAACGGCCUACCAAGACUGCGAUCAGUAGCCGGACUGAGAGGUUGAACGGCCACAUUGGGACUGAGAUACGGCCCAGACUCCUACGGGAGGCAGCAGUGGGGAAUAUUGGGCAAUGGGCGAAAGCCUCGACCCAGCAACGCCGCGUGAAGGAAGAAGGUCUUCGGAUUGUAAACUUCUUUAUGAGGGACGAAGGACGUGACGGUACCUCAUGAAUAAGCCACGGCUAACUACGUGCCAGCCGCAGC
rnacentral:rRNA from 1 species